rnacentral:rRNA from 1 species
GGGGAAUAUUGGGCAAUGGGGGAAACCCUGACCCAGCAACGCCGCGUGAAGGAAGAAGGCUUUCGGGUUGUAAACUUCUUUGACGAGGGACGAAAAAAAUGACGGUACCUCGAAAACAAGCCACGGCUAACUACGUGCCAGCAGCCGCGGUAAUACGUAGGUGGCAAGCGUUGUCCGGAUUUACUGGGUGUAAAGGGCGCGUAGGCGGGAAUGCAAGUCAGAUGUGAAAUGCUGGGGCUUAACCUCAGAACUGCAUUUGAAACUGUAUUUCUUGAGUAUCGGAGAGGCAGGCGGAAUUCCUAGUGUAGCGGUGAAAUGCGUAGAUAUUAGGAGGAACACCAGUGGCGAAGGCGGCCUGCUGGACGACAACUGACGCUGAGGCGCGAAAGCGUGGGGAGCAAACA